CCUACGGGUGACAGCAGUCGAGAAUCAUUCACAAUGGGGGAAACCCUGAUGGUGCGACGCCGCGUGGGGGAAUGAAGGUCUUCGGAUUGUAAACCCCUGUCAUGUGGGAGCAAAUUAAAAAGAUAGUACCACAAGAGGAAGAGACGGCUAACUCUGUGCCAGCAGCCGCGGUAAUACAGAGGUCUCAAGCGUUGUUCGGAAUCACUGGGCGUAAAGCGUGCGUAGGCUGUUUCGUAAGUCGUGUGUGAAAGGCGCGGGCUCAACCCGCGGACGGCACAUGAUACUGCGAGACUAGAGUAAGGGAGGGGGAACCGGAAUUCUCGGUGUAGCAGUGGAAUGCGUAGAUAUCGAGAGGAACACUCGUGGCGAAGGCGGGUUCCUGGACAUUAACUGACGCUGAGGCACGAAGGCCAGGGGAGCGAAAGGGAUUAGAUACCCUUGUAGUC
rnacentral:rRNA from 1 species